UUGGUCGUUAAUCUUAAUAAUAUAUUAUACUAGAGUACUAUGAAUUAAAAUUUAAAACUCAAAGGGCUUGGCGGUGCUUUAGACUUUUCAGGGGAACUUGUCUCGUAAUCGACAUUCCACGAAUGAGCCUUACCUUCUUUAGUAACACAGUUUGUAUACCGUCGUCGUCAGGUAACUUUUAAAAAUAAAGAAGUUAGCAAGCAAGGUAGAAGGUAAACUUAGACGUCAGAUCAAGGUGCAGCCUAUAAGAAGGAGAGGAUGAGUUACAAUUAAUAAUUAUAACUACGGAUAUAAGGUUUUAAAGCUUAUUGAAGGCGGACUUGAAAGUAAAAAUUGGUAGUUAAAUUUUUUGAAUUAAGCUCUGAAGCG
rnacentral:rRNA from 1 species